rnacentral:rRNA from 1 species
CUGACGCAGCCACGCCGCGUGCCGGAAGACGGCCCUAUGGGUUGUAAACGGCUUUUGAUUGGGAAGAACGUUCCGGUUUCGACCGGGAUUGACGGUACCAUUUGAAUAAGCACCGGCUAACUCCGUGCCAGCAGCCGCGGUAAUACGGAGGGUGCAAGCGUUGUCCGGAAUCAUUGGGUGUAAAGGGUGCGUAGGCUGGCAUCUAAGUCUGGGGUGAAAUCUUGCCGCUUAACGGUAAAAUUGCCCUGGAUACUGGAUGUCUUGAAUACUGAAGAGGUCGGUGGAAUUCGUGGUGUAGCGGUGAAAUGCAUAGAUAUCACGAAGAACACCAGUGGCGAAGGCGGCCGGCUGGGCAGUAUCUGACGCUGAGGCACGAGAGCGUGGGGAGCGAACAGGAUUAGAUACCCUGGUAGUCCACGCUGUAAACGAUGUAUGCUAGUUGUUGGCUCUUCGGAGCCAGUGACGCAGUUAACGCAGUAAGCAUACCACCUGG